GACGAACGCUGGCGGCGUGCCUAAUACAUGCCAGUAGAACGCACAGUUUAUACCGUAGCUUGCUACACCAUAGACUGUGAGUUGCGAACGGGUGAGUAACGCGUAGGUAACCUGCCUGGUAGCGGGGGAUAACUAUUGGAAACGAUAGCUAAUACCGCAUAAUAUUGAUUAUUGCAUGAUAAUUAAUUGAAAGGUGCAAUUGCACCACUACCAGAUGGACCUGCGUUGUAUUAGCUAGUAGGUGAGGUAACGGCUCACCUAGGCGACGAUACAUAGCCGACCUGAGAGGGUGAGCGGCCACACUGGGACUGAGGCACGGCCCAGACUCCUACGGGAGGCAGCAGUAGGGAAUCUUCGGCAAUGGACGAAAGUCUGACCGAGCAACGCCGCGUGAGUGAAGAAGGUUUUCGGAUCGUAAAGCUCUGUUGUAAGAGAAGAACGGGUGUGAGAGUGGAAAGUUCACACUGUGACGGUAUCUUACCAGAAAGGGACGGCUAACUACGUG
rnacentral:rRNA from 1 species